rnacentral:lncRNA from 1 species
UUUGGGUGGGAGUUUUGUUCCUGGGCUACUGUUUGAUGUCUGGAUUUGCAGAGAGAUUUGGCUGAGUGUUGCCUCUUUUACUGAACUGUUUGGUGGGUAUGUUCAAGAGAGAAUGCUUGCUAAUGUUGGAAGUUGGGAGAAGAGGCAGUCAGGAAGAGAUGAUCUUAGCAAUCCACAAGGAGACAUAGUCAGGACAAAGGUUAGGCUGCUUCUGUUAUUUAGUACAAUGCUAGGGGCAACUGUGAAAAUUGCAUCUGGAAUAACAAAUAGUGUGGUAGAUCUAUGGACAGCCUACCUUGUCUCCUGGCAGGUAUGGCAUGUGGUUGAACAGGGAGUGUCUGCCCAAGUGGGGCGUGUGUCACAGGAAUGAGGCAGGAAAGGAAGGGUAGGUGGGGAUUGUGUGUGGUAUCCAUAGGAGGCAUGCACAGGGGAAGAGGAAAUCUUCACUGAUAUACUGUUCCAGUGGUUCCUUGGUUGUCUUUGAGGUUCCUG